GACGAACGCUGGCGGCGUGCCUAAUACAUGCAAGUAGAACGCACAGAUUAUGCCGUUGCUUGCUACACCAUAGCCUGUGAGGUGCGAACGACAGGUGAACGAGUAGGUAAUCUGCCUGGUAGCGGGGGGUGACUCUGGGACACGUACGGUAAUACAGCUUAAUCUUCAUUAUUGCAUGGUAAAUGAUUGUAUUGUUGAAUCGCACCAAUACCUGAUGGACCUGCGUUGUAUUAGGUAGUAGGAGAGGUAACGGCGCACCUAGGCGACGGCAGAUAGCCGACCUGGGAGGGGGGUCGGCCACACUGGGACCGGGACACGGCUCCGGCUCCUACGGGAGGCAGCAGUAGGGAAUCUUCGGCAAUGGAGGGAAGUCUUACCGAGCAACGCCGGGUGAGUGGAGAAGGUUUUCGGAUCGUAAAGCUCUGUUGUACGAGAAGAACGGGUGUGGGAGUGGAAAGUGCACACUGUGACGGUAUCUUACCAGAAAGGGACGGCUAACUACGUG
rnacentral:rRNA from 1 species